rnacentral:rRNA from 1 species
UAGGGAAUCUUCCACAAUGGACGCAAGGCUGAUGGAGCAACGCCGCGUGAGUGAAGAAGGUUUUCGGAUCGUAAAGCUCUGUUGUUGGUGAAGAAGGAUAGAGGCAGUAACUGGUCUUUAUUUGACGGUAAUCAACCAGAAAGUCACGGCUAACUACGUGCCAGCAGCCGCGGUAAUACGUAGGUGGCAAGCGUUGUCCGGAUUUAUUGGGCGUAAAGCGAGCGCAGGCGGAAUGAUAAGUCUGAUGUGAAAGCCCACGGCUCAACCGUGGAACUGCAUCGGAAACUGUCAUUCUUGAGUGCAGAAGAGGAGAGUGGAAUUCCAUGUGUAGCGGUGGAAUGCGUAGAUAUAUGGAAGAACACCAGUGGCGAAGGCGGCUCUCUGGUCUGCAACUGACGCUGAGGCUCGAAAGCAUGGGUAGCGAACAGG